UACCCUGUUCAUCUUUCCGAUCCGUCUUCUCUUCCCAACCUCUACAAACACAGAAGAAAAUCAUCUGGCAGGUUGAUUUAAUCUUCCACAGAUUCAAUUUUCUGGAACAUCUUUUCAUACAUUACCAGGUCCACCACCACCAGCAGAAUCUACACCUUCAUCUACUUCUCCUUAUCCAUGCAGUAUCUUCAUCUUCUUUUUGUUGAUUUCAGUUGAGCUUUAAGGAAUUUGCUAGGUUCACUUUUGGUGGUUGAAUGAGAGGCUGGGUUGUGAAGUAUAGGGAAUAGCUUUUAGAAAAAUGGUGCAACAUCUCAAUACAGGCUUGGGUCAGUGCAUUCAAAAGCGAUGUAAGUUGUAUUAGAGAAGAGCGCAACUAUGGAUGAACUUCUGUCGCGAUGGUUAGGUGGUCUACGUGGUGCUCUGAUCUGUGUGCAUUCAACUCCUUUAUCAGGACUUCUCAAUUCUAUCAGGACUUAUAUCUAUCUUAUCAGGUCUACUAUUAUGCAUUCAACUCCUUUUUGAUACAUGUGCUCUGCGUUGUCCUCUGAUUACUAGAUAGGCAAUUCGCCUGAUAUGUGUGCUCUACGUGGUUCUCUAAUCGGAUUAGUUAUUCCAUAUGGUAGAGCUCUGAAAGAAGUGCUUUCGGUGUUUAUUAAUAUCCCAUUGCCUGGUGAAUGUUGAAACAUGGGCAAUUCGCAAGUGUAAACUUUUGGUUCAUCUGUUUGUAAAUCUUAUUGAUGUUUUAUUAUUCGGCAAAGCGGUCAUAUUAAAUUCGCUAUUUCAUUUUUUCAAGUCCAGUCCAUUUCACAAAGAUAACGUUCCAUGGUGGUUAGCUGUUUGAAUUUCAGUUUCUCAUUGCGGAAUGCACAUGUACAUGUUGUGGUUUUGUAUGGUUAAUGCAAGUCAGGAUUGGUGUAGGUGAAGCUGUUUCACCUUUCCCUAGCUUUAUAAGGUGAAUUAAUGGGAAGAGCAGAGGUACCAUUUGAUUACAACUGACUGUAAGGGGUUAAUAUUCGUGCUCAUAGAGCUUCCAGAAAGAUGAGUGGUAACCUGUGCGCACUCUCAUCGCGAUAGUAGUAGUCAUGGACAUGGACUUCUUCAAUUCGGAUACAUUGAGUGUUUGAGUAACCUUCUUCAAUUUGUGCAUUUAAUUUUACUUUUGAGGUCUUUGUUGCUCUAUGGGAUAAAUAAGAUUGUUAGACCACAUCAGAAACUUUUGUCAAAGGUUUGGGUGCGUAUAGGUAAAUUACUAUUAUUUUUGGACAGGGAUUUGAAACUGAGAUCCUUUAACAAUUUUUGUUACCCAUAAUUGAGGCUACGUCUUAUAAAGACUGAAAAUUAAUGAAUGAGAUUUUAUGAUGAAUAUUCAGUUUGGUUAAGUAAUUCUCAUUAAAACAAGAAUUCUGAUGCAAUUCCUGGCCUUUACAUUUCUUAACUAGCAUUAUUUUCAGCGGCGUUAAUUAUGGUUUUUGAUGUCGUCCAAUUCUUAUCAUUUUGAUGGCAGGACCAUCAAAUGGUAUUGGCGCUGAGACUGCACACGUACUUGCAAUACAUGGAGUUCAAGUAGUUAUCGCAAAGUUCUGUUGUCGCUCCUUGAUUGCUGUCAAUGACAUUGGAGAUUCAAUCCCUGCAGUUGGAUGUCAUGCCUCAUCAGAUCAGGACCAUGUAGAUAGUUUGGUACUAGAUCUGAAAGUCUAUAUUAAUGGCAGAAUGGUUGGAAAUGUAUGAAGCUAAUGGUUUGUGCAAACUAACUGUUAUGACCAAAGAGUGAGGGUAACAAACACGAGAACGAGAUAUAGGAAUUUCAUUCCUACCUAACUUUGAUGGAAGUUAUAUGUGCAUUUUUUAGAGUUUAAACAGCAGUGCAGCUCAUGAAUGCAGAACGGAGACUCAGUCUGUUUCUUGAUGAGAUGGGCAGUCUUGGACGAGGUGCUCAUGGAAUUAGUUUAAUCUCACAAAACUGAAACUCAAGGCUGUCAUGAAUGGUGCUACUUCUCUUUCUCCUGAUCUAAUUUCUGCCUUUGAAGCCAAAUUUGAAAUUUCAUGAUGUACAAGUCAAAGAGGUACUUUGGCGAGGAUUCUAAACUGGGAUUGGUCUCCAGAUAAUCAUUCUUUUAGUCAUGUUCUGUUGACAGCUAGGACAAAGAGGUGCAAUUAUCAAAAGAGAGUCAAGUGAUGCAGGUCCCGAUGAGAAAAAACCUUGAAAAAUAAAUAAGAACGAAUAACCCUUAAAGCAAGAAAAUACUAGGUUGUACUGAAUUCCUGAUGGCAGUGGAUAAAGGCUUGCUCGGGAUAUUAUUCCCUACUAUGUUGAAAACUAUUAAAACUUGCUCAAAGCAAGCACCCACAAUAGGCAAUAGGUUACAUCUUAGCCUUGCAUUGUUGGUAUUUUGUGUAGAUUGUUCAGUUGACGAUUUUACUGAAUUUUGAUUGUAUAGACUGCUUAAUGACACUGAAUAUGUUGAUAUAGGAGUACAUGUAUUUUCAUGUGUGCCA